rnacentral:rRNA from 1 species
UACGGGGGGAGCAAGCGUUGUUCGGAUUUACUGGGCGUAAAGGGCGCGUAGGCGGUCGUGACAAGUCACUUGUGAAAUCUCCGGGCUUAACUCGGAACGGUCAAGUGAUACUGUCGGACUAGAGUACAGAAGGGGCAACUGGAAUUCUCGGUGUAGCGGUGAAAUGCGUAGAUAUCGAGAGGAACACCAGCGGCGAAGGCGGCAUCCUGGACUGGUCCUGACACUCAUGAGCGAAAGCGUGGGGAGCGAUCCGG